UACGUAGGGGGCAAGCGUUGUUCGGAUUUAUUGGGCGUAAAGCGCGUGUAGGCGGCUCAGUAAGUGCGCUCUGAAAGCCCGGGGCUCAACCCCGGGAGGCGGGUGGAUACUGCUGAGCUCGAGUCCGGAAGAGGAGUGUGGAAUUCCUGGUGUAGCGGUGAAAUGCGCAGAUAUCAGGAGGAACACCAAUGGCGAAGGCAGCACUCUGGGACGGUACUGACGCUGAGAAGCGAAAGCGUGGGGAGCAAACAGG
rnacentral:rRNA from 1 species